CGGUCCUAAGGUAGCGAAAUUCCUUGUCGGGUAAGUUCCGACCUGCACGAAUGGUGUAACGAUCUGGGCACUGUCUCAACCACGAGCUCGGUGAAAUUGUAGUAUCGGUGAAGAUGCCGGUUACCCGCAAUGGGACGAAAAGACCCCGUGAACCUUUACUAUAGCUUCACAUUGUUAUUGUUUAAAAGAUGUGUAGGAUAGGUGGGAGGCUGCGAAGUUGUGUCGCCAGGCAUGAUGGAGCCAUCCUUGAAAUACCACCCUUCUUUUAAUUGGUAACUAACUUCCUUUGGGAAGGACAGUGUGUGGUGGGUAGUUUGACUGGGG
rnacentral:rRNA from 1 species